rnacentral:rRNA from 1 species
UUGGGAAUAUUGGGACAAAUGGGAGGAAACUCUGAUCCAGUGACGCCGCGUGAAGGAAGAAGGUCUUCGGAUUGUAAACUUAUUUUAUCAGGGAAGAAGAAAGUGACUGUACCUGAAGAAGAAGGACCGGCUAACUACGUGCCAGCAGCCGCGGUAAUACGUAGGGGGCAAGCGUUAUCCGGAUUUACUGGGUGUAAAGGGAGCGUAGACGGCUGGAUCAGUCUGAUGUGAAAGCCCGGGGCUCAACCCCGGGACUGCAUUGGAAACUGUCCAGCUAGAGUGCAGGAGAGGUAAGUGGAAUUCCUAGUGUAGCGGUGAAAUGCGUAGAUAUUAGGAGGAACACCAGUGGCGAAGGCGGCUUACUGGACUGUAACUGACGUUGAGGCUCGAAAGCGUGGGGAGCAAACAGGAUUA